ensembl:lncRNA
GUGCUAUAGAAGGGAAAGGGAAUAGAGCAGAAAUGACCUGGGAAAGAUGGUGAAGGAGACACUGGGCCAGAGAAAAACCCAGGCCUGACAGACAGAGCUCAGCACAGGGAGCUGAGACUCCCUGACAAAGAGUAGACCUCAUCUUUACGUGUUCUGCCUUUGUUUCUAAAGGGAAAUCAAGCAGGAGAGAGAGGAGGCAGAUGUUGAGAAUUCAGCUGGAGUAGGUGUGUUGUUGAGAAGAGGAACUGUUUUGUGCUGUCUACACAGCUGAGCCUGGGGUGCUGAGCAUGAAGCCCUAAUUUAGGCUGUAGAAACCUAGCCAGCAGGGUCCUGUUGGCAGAAUGUUGAGGAGGUUUAAAGGAGAAGGGCCAGGAAAGACAGAAGAGAGUUUUUGAAUUCAACUUUGGCUAAAAAACCAAUUAUCUGGAAGAAACGCAUACUGUCAUGUGUCCAUUUGGGUGCUCGAUCUUUCAGCUGACCUGCCAGGUUGGCUGAAAGGUUAUUCUACUAGUUUUCCCUGGACUUCCCUCUUUGACUGUUCAAGUUGGGCUGUCACGACAGGGAUCAGUGCUUUACACAAGUCCCAGGGAACUCUCUUGUCUCUGCCAUCUGAGGACUCACCAAGAAGAAGGAAUCAUCUAUGGACCAGGGGCAGCCCUCCAUCAGACACUGAACCUGCUGGCUUCUGGAUCUAGGACAUCCCAGCUUUCAGAGUUGUUGUCUGUGGAAUGUGGAUUCACCUUACAGAAAAUCAGGCCCAAGCAGGCAAGAAUGGCACCUCCAGAUGCCAACCUAGGGAGUUAAACAGUCUUCAAUUCCUUAGACCUGCUAUAAUUGAGAACAUCCUCCUCUCUGUUUUCCUCCUGCCCACUUGCUGCUCCCUAGAGGGGGACCUGUUUCUAAGAAGCCUGGGAAGGCUUCAUAGGAAUUGGAUGUACAGUGUUUUGAAGGAGAAAAACCCAGGUGUUUGAGAUUUCUAUCCAGGAAAGAAUUGACUAGUGGCUUUUGUUCACUCAAAAGCAUUUUCUAAUUGUUUAAAGGUUAUCAUGACAUGGCUUGUAUGUGACUGCAUCCCCUCAUCUUUCUUGAGCACUAUUUUGAAGAGUCCAUCUCUAUAUUCAAAGGCUCAUGCAUCAGUGCAGUUCCUUUAUGGGUAACGCAGGAAGCCUGGAGAGAGAGUGUGGGGUUCUUAGCAGCAUUUCCUACCAGCCAGGCUGGGCGCUCACUCGAAUGCAGACAUGCAGAGCAUUUUCCUUCUAUGUAAAUAUCUAAUCUACACCAGGGCCAUCAUCUGACUGCUUUCAUUGCCCUCAGAUCUUGGAAAGUCAUUUUAAGGUAGAGAUCAUUUGGCAGUUCUAUUAAAGAAGUUGGUCUCAUAUCAAGAAGUAGCAAUUCGAACAUAGCUCUGAAGUUUUUUUUCCUGUGAGUGUUAUAAAAGAUCAACUCAAAGUAGGUUAAGCAGGCAAAGAGAUUUAACAGAAUAUAAGAGUUUCUCAUAUAAGUAGAGGAGGGGUUGAACAAAUAGAAGGAUGCAAGUCUACUCAAGGAAAAAUUUUAUCUCUGCUUCUCUCUACCCAUAAUCACAACAAACUGGCCCACGCUUUACAGCUCUCCAUUUACACAACUAGAACAGGACUCAGUCUUUCAUUGGAGGCAAAGUAAAAUGAAGUACCAGGGAAGGGCUGUGAUUGGUUUAUUUGGGUAGAGCUCGCUCCUGGAUCCAAGAGCAGAAGCUGUUUCCUUGAUAGUUUAUCCAAUUAUGUUGAAAUUUUUGAGCCUAAGAAAGUCAGCUCUUCUUUUGUGUACUGCAAAUCAUGAUUAUUUUGUUGUGCAUGCAUCUCUUUCAGAAAAACUUAAAGCUUUAAGUAUGAUGUUUAGUUCCUUUGACAGAAUCUUUCAGGAAAAAGUAGAAAUAACCACCUCAACAAAAAGUCUGCUAUUCCAAUUUUAUUAAAAUGAGUCAAAUAUUCUGCAUAAAAUCCUGUGCUGUUACCGUGUGAGGGAUUUUUAGUGCUAUCAAUCUGUAGAUUUAAUAACCACUGUUUAAAUAUGUAUAUCUAGCAUAGAAAUUUGUUUUGUUUUAAAUAUACCUUUCUUUUUGGUAUCAGGAAUGGAACUCAGGGCCUCACACUUGCGAGGUGGGUGCUGUGCCACUGAGCUACAUCCCCAGCCCUUAAACACAUCUUUUAUUUGUUGAGUUGCAACUGAAGUUUUAAGGGAGAAGCUGAUAAAAGUUAUGGCCCCACAUUUAAAAAGUGAGGCAGCACUGGUACUUUGUGCUAUAUCCCUCAAAAAGGUAAAUGUUGAAGAACAUAUCUGCUUCUAUCAUUCUGCUCAGUUUUGUUGCACUUAAUCAUCACUUAUUGGAGCAAAUUUCUUCACUUAUCCUCUUCAUCCUCCAGUCCUGGUUUCCUGGGGGAGCUAGCACUCACUCCUUCAGGGAUACUUAUGUACUGCCUUUGAAGACUGGAGAAAGAAGCAGAAAGAUUAAGCAGAAAACCUGAAUCUCUUGCUGGAACCUAAGGCAGAGGGUGAAAUAUAGUGGCCUGGAUCCAAAUGUAGACUUUGAUUACUUGCUGUGUGAUGCUGAAUAUAAUAGUCAAUAUUGUAAAGUUUUGACUAUCUGCUUUGUAAAAUUGGGAUGAUGAUGUGACACAGAGUAGCUUUGACUACUAAAAUAGAUCAUUUAUGUAAAGUGCUUGGCAUGUGAUUACUUAGUGAGAGUUCUGCUUGGAGCCUACCAUAGUCUGACCUCAUUUUCUCAUCUGUCUCUGUUCUUGGGUCCCUUUGCUUCCCCAGCACACACCCACCCACAUCGAUCACUAGAAGUUGGGCUGAUGCCACAUAGCCUGCAGCCUCUCUUCUGUCACUAUUGCUGUUAUAUGACUACGUAGUCACUGUAGAUUGGUUGGUCUCAGGCAGGAAGGACACUCAUGUGACAUCUUAUGGGUCUGGACUUGAGGUGACCAGUUUGCCUUGAUCAGAAUGCUCUUCUCCUUUAAAGGCUAUGACUUGUAAGUGUCCUGAUUCUUUCUUUUGCCUUCCAUAUGUAAAUGUAUAUUCAUUCCAAACACCCUCAUUUUUAAAAGAACUUUUCUUAGAAAGAAGAAAGAGUGUUCAAUAAAGCAACAACACAGAUAAAAGGUCACUGUCUUUGGAGUAACAGAAGCUGGCUAACCUGUCCAUGGCUGGUGAAUCCUGUCUAUGGUUGGCAUGGCUUCUAGAGGGUGACAGAAAAGAGAACCAAUUGGCAAUCAGAAAUAGUGCCAUACAACCACUCAGGCACCAAAGUGCUAUGAAUGUCAAGUGCAACAUAUUUGCUGAGGCAGAAUCAGAGUCCAGCCAAACUCUAGACCAUGCCAAGUAAGGAUGAAAUAUUACUAUUGUUUUCGCUGCUCAUGAAUAUCCAGUUUUUCUGAGGUGAUAUUUGUGCUAGUAUACGAGGGAAACAAACAUGUCUUUGGCCUUCUCUGGUUCUUGGAAUCAAGCUUGGUAUUACAACAGAAGAGCCCAAAGUCAUACUAAUUGUCUACGUAUACCAACAUAUGUAGAUGCCAGGAAGAGAAUCCAUCAAGGAAGGCCCACGAUUAGAUGAUGAUGAAUACCAUGUACAGCUUGGCCUGCAGGGCUCCUAGAUGGUCACCAGUCCUGUCCUUUCCUGGGCAGCUGAGGGAAUGGCAGUGACCAGCUGCUUCUGGAGAUUCUAAUCUAACUUCCUGAGAAUUUGCACAACUGCUCUGGACAGCAACUCUAGCCUGAGUGACACUUCUGAACUCAAUGUGCCUUUUGCUGAAUACUGUAUGUUAUGUUAGCUGAGGAUUCCAUCACCAGGCCGAGGGCCAAGGACAAUCCUAUUUCUGUUCAGAAGAGUCAAGAGCUCUUUCCAUUUAAUCCUGUCUCAGAUAACAAUCAGAUGAUUUAAUCCAUAAAAAUAAAUCCAAUUCUUUGAGG